UGAAAAUGAAACUGUAUUACAGAAAUGGUUAGAUAUGUGUAACAUGUUCAAGCAAAAACUGUGGCAAAAUGAUCAUUCAAAUGUUAUUUUUCUUAAUUGCAUUUACACUCACAGUCAAGACACUUGCGAUUGCUUUUUCAUUAAAUGUCCCGCAAUGAAUGUAGCAAAAUUCAAUGUGCACAUUGAAAAUGCAUUCCGAGCCGAUCACGCCCCUGCCCCGCCCCCUCCCGCCCUCUCCCGCCCUGUCAAUCACUGCAUCAAGGCGGGACUUGAGUUGUGUUGUCGGGGGUAUUACGCAGAAGGUCAAGAAGGUUCAAAAGUGAGGCAACAUGGACAAGUCAGUUCCACAGCUUCUCAGAGAAGCUGCCCAAGCAAUAGAGCGACAAAGUGCAAAUGCUGCCCCUUCAGAAAGGCCAUCGUCCAGCUUAAGCAUAACGCCUCCGGAUCGAAGUGGUGGGACACGGGGUAAGUUUGCAGAAAGAGAAGAGACAAGGGGUCGGUCGUCAAACGGUUAGGCCUAGGGUUGCCAACUUUCACUCGGGGUCUGGACUGUGGAGUGUAUUUGAUGUUCACACUCUUACGAGACCAUAGAGCGUCUGUACGAAAAGUGCUCGUUUUGGCCAAAAAAAAAACAAAACCUGCGGUCACACUACUAGACUUUAAGCACACGAAUAUAGCCCAAAAAUCGAAAUAGUCGGUCCAAAACGUUAAAAUUUCACACCUACUCCACUUCACUGCAAAAAGUUUGUAUUCUUUUAUUUCAGGUAACUUAAAGGUCAUGUCGUGAUGUAUUGAUUUUUAUUAGUCACGUCAUACGAAUUCGCAAUUAAUUUGAACUGUAAAGUGCAGCGAAAUUCGAAACUUCCUCGCAUGAACUCCCCCACUCGCAUGUGUUUGAAUGCAAGGCAGUUGGCAACCCUGAUAUAGCAUUAAACAGUCAAUUUAUUAAAAUACCAAAGACUAACAUGUAUUUCAUAUUUUAUUGCAGCAGAAGUUUUAAGAUUAUUUGCACCAUACUCAAAUUCACGGGGUCGCCUGCCUAAACGUCCCAACACUGCUGGACCUUCAGCAAAAAAGUCAAAAAGUGUGUCCUACACCCAUCGUUUUUUUUGCCUAUCCAAAAGAAAGGAAUAUGAGGUCCCAAAUCCCUCAGUGAAAAACAAAUUAGAGAGGGCAGGAAUAGGAGAGAAGAGGAUAACCUUUCCAGACAAAUACUGCACUCCACAGUAUUUUUCAGACCAUCUUUUUCAGCAUUUCCCCAUCUUGAAAGAGUGUGGCGGUUUCCAGCUCUUGCGAUCCAGAGGAUCAACACGUUCAAAAAUAUUAGAGACAAUACCCUGUCCAGACGUCAGAGUACCUCUUAAGUGAGUCUGUCAUGAUUGGGCAGGCUGUCAUAUAUAUAUCGGGCCACUCCAGAAAGAUAUAGACGUGCAGAUUCUUGAGAGUGACCAGCCUAUAUCCACUGGACCAAUGACAGAAUGCUUGUACUGCAAUGAGAAGUAUAGCCUGUCAGAAAUACAAGACCAUGUUGAUGUUUGUGAAAA